GUGUCAGCCGCCGCGGUAAUACGGAGGAUGCAAGCGUUAUCCGGAAUGAUUGGGCGUAAAGCGUCCGCAGGUGGCUGUGUAAGUCUGCUGUCAAAGAGCGAAGCUCAACUUCGUAAAGGCAGUGGAAACUACACGGCUAGAGUGCGUUCGGGGCAGAGGGAAUUCCUGGUGUAGCGGUGAAAUGCGUAGAGAUCAGGAAGAACACCGGUGGCGAAGGCGCUCUGCUAGGCCGCAACUGACACUGAGGGACGAAAGCUAGGGGAGCGAAUGGGAUUAGAUACCCUCGUAGUCC
rnacentral:rRNA from 1 species